AUAAAGGCUACGAUGGAGAAGAGUAAUUUUGAUAAUACUGACAGGGAAUUAAAGUCAUAGACUGAAAGCUUUAAUCUGAUAUUGCAUUAUGAAUAACACUCCUGAGCCUAUUUUGCAAAAGGCUUUUUGCCCGGUAGUGAAGUACGUUUUGCACGCGUUAUAGUGCCAAAGUCGGGCAUUAGUGUCAAUUUAGGUGGUACCGCGGAGAAAUUUCGUCCUAAAG
rnacentral:ncRNA from 1 species